GAGGAACUCUACCCCUGCACGUGAGCGGUGAGCAAUAGUAUUACUGAGACAGUUUGAGACUUACAGAACUGGUAAAGCUGCAGGGGAUUGAUUCAUGACAAAUGGGGAAUGCACUGUUAGGCUAAAAAACUGUGUGAGAUACAAAAACGGUUACUUACCCGAACAAUAACACGUGGUGAGAAGUCAAGCCCCAAGGAAUUGUUAAGAAGAAAUAUACCCAAAGGAUAACGUCUAUCAUGCUGCGGUUUGGCCAGCACCUCAUCAAGCCAUCUGUGGUCUUCCUGAAAACUGAGCUCUCUUAUGCUCUCGUGAACCGCAAGCCGGUGGUCCCAGGCCGUAUCCUUUUAACCAGUGCCUUGACCAUGGGUACCUGCACUCCUGGGAGAAGCAGGGAAGCUUGGUAUGCUCUUCAGGCCAGGUUUGUCCACAUCUUGAACAUUAGUCUUCAACACAGCCAUCAGAAUGUAAUAUGCAGCACACACAGGGUUAACAGCCUGGAGCUUCAGCUUCAGGGUCGAGAUCCUUCUCUGAGCCAAGAUAAUUGGAUUGCUACUGUCUCAAAAGGGCUCUUAAAGCAAAAAGGCAAUUUAGAUGUGUCUGUUUAAAAACAAAUUACAGAAUCCAGUAUAUCUUGAUGCCACAUUGAAUUCAAUGAACCCGUGUCCUGAAGGCUGUUAUGUUUCAGUAUUUUGAUCUGGUUUUGUUACGUACGUGCAUCCUGUGUUUAGCUGGAUCCAGUCUUCUUUGGAACUUGAAUUUGUCAUGUCCUUAUUUUGUAGAUUCAUCCCAUCUUGAGGGGUCAGUCUUCUUUGCUGUCCUUCAGGGACUUUCAUGUCUUUCACAGUGAAUUCAACUAACAAUAAUUUGCUUUGAUCUAAAAGGCUGUUUUCCAAUCUUACACGACUUGCUUUCUUUAGUUUGCCUUGCUGCCCUACCAUGUAUCCAAGUAGAAGGUUCAGAUACUUACAAGACUAUUUUCAUUAUUGUUUGUUUCAAAAUGAAUUUUUGAGUAAUUCCUUCAGUAAAAUAGAAUAAGAAAGAUUUAAUCACAUUCCUUGCUUUGAUGUAUAUAUGGCAUAAGGACUGCUUCAUUUUGAUACUAGUGUUUGAAUUAAAUUUUUUUUAUUAUUUUUUUUAGUCUCAAGAAAAUGUUGAAUGUUCAGUACUGUAGAGCUGUGCAUUGUAAUCAUAAAAAAAAAAAUUGGAAAGAUUGUGCUUGUAGCAUUCUCAUAAACACCUCUGUAGUCUAGUUUCAGCUUUAAAGCAAAUACUGUUAUAAUGGCACAUGUAGUUCUGCUCCCAAUGUAGUAAAUUCUAAUGAAAUCAAUAAAAGCAUAAAGACAGAAUUAGUAGCUAACUCA
rnacentral:lncRNA from 1 species